rnacentral:misc_RNA from 1 species
AACGCAUAUUGCGCCCUUUGGUAUUCCGAAGGGCAUGCCUGUUCGAGCGUCAUGAUCAACCAUCAAGCCUGGCUUGUCGUUGGACCCUGUAGUCUCUGGGCGACAGGUCCGAAAGAUAAUGACGGUGUCAUGGCAACCCCGAAUGCAACGAGCUUUUUUUAUUUUAUUUAAUAAGCACGCAUUUAGUGGUUGGCAAGGCCCCCUCGUGCGUUAUUAUUUUCUUACGGUUGACCUCGGAUCAGGUAGGAAUACCCGCUGAACUUAA